rnacentral:rRNA from 1 species
GACGAACGCUGGCGGCGUGCUUAACACAUGCAAGUCGAACGAAGAGCGACGGAAGCUUGCUUCUAUCAAUCUUAGUGGCGCACGGGUGAGUAACGCGUAAUCAACCUGCCCUUCAGAGGGGGACAACAGUUGGAAACGACUGCUCAUACCGCAUACGAUCUAACCUCGGCAUCGAGGAUAGAUGAAAGGUGGCCUCUACAUGUAAGCUAUCACCGAAGGAGGGGAUUGCGUCUGAUUAGCUAGUUGGAGGGGUAACGGCCCACCAAGGCGAUGAUCAGUAGCCGGUCUGAGAGGAUGAACGGCCACAUUGGGACUGAGACACGGCCCAGACUCCUACGGGAGGCAGCAGUGGGGAAUCUUCCGCAAUGGACGAAAGUCUGACGGAGCAACGCCGCGUGAGUGAUGACGGCCUUCGGGUUGUAAAGCUCUGUUAAUCGGGACGAAAGGCCUUCUUGCGAAUAGUGAGAAGGAUUGACGGUACCGGAAUAGAAAGCCACGGCUAACUACGUG